UUCGAUGUGUCGGCGUGUCUAUACAUGCAAGUCGAGCGAACUUGCGGGAGCUUGCUCCCAAAAGUUAGCGGCGGACGGGUGAGUAACACGUGGGCAACCUGCCUGUAAGACUGGGAUAACUUCGGGAAACCGGAGCUAAUACCGGAUAAUUCUUAUCAACACAUGUUGGUAAGCUGAAAGUCGGUUUCGGCUGACACUUACAGAUGGGCCCGCGGCGCAUUAGCUAGUUGGUGAGGUAACGGCUCACCAAGGCAACGAUGCGUAGCCGACCUGAGAGGGUGAUCGGCCACACUGGGACUGAGACACGGCCCAGACUCCUACGGGAGGCAGCAGUAGGGAAUCUUCCACAAUGGACGAAAGUCUGAUGGAGCAACGCCGCGUGAGCGAUGAAGGCCUUCGGGUCGUAAAGCUCUGUUGUUAGGGAAGAACAAGUAUCGGAGUAACUGCCGGUACCUUGACGGUACCUAACCAGAAAGCCACGGCUAACUACGUGCCAGCAGCCGCGGUAAUACGUAGGUGGCAAGCGUUGUCCGGAAUUAUUGGGCGUAAAGCGCGCGCAGGCGGUCCUUUAAGUCUGAUGUGAAAGCCCACGGCUCAACCGUGGAGGGUCAUUGGAAACUGGGGGACUUGAGUGCAGAAGAGGAAAGCGGAAUUCCACGUGUAGCGGUGAAAUGCGUAGAGAUGUGGAGGAACACCAGUGGCGAAGGCGGCUUUCUGGUCUGUAACUGACGCUGAGGCGCGAAAGCGUGGGGAG
rnacentral:rRNA from 1 species